CACGUCAGCGCGCUUUGCUAACGUGGACACAAAUCGCGUCCACGUCAAAGCGAUUUGCGUCCACGUCAGCAAAAUGCGCUGACGUUG
rfam:Gossypium hirsutum cultivar TM-1 chromosome 14, whole genome shotgun sequence